rnacentral:rRNA from 1 species
GACGAACGCUGGCGGCGUGCCUAAUACAUGCAAGUCGAGCGCAGGAAACUGACGGAACUCUUCGGAGGGAAGGCAGUGGAAUGAGCGGCGGACGGGUGAGUAACACGUAAGGAACCUGCCUCAAGGAUUGGGAUAACUCCGAGAAAUCGGAGCUAAUACCGGAUAGUUCAACGGACCGCAUGGUCCGCUGAUGAAAGGCGCUCCGGCGUCACCUUGAGAUGGCCUUGCGGUGCAUUAGCUAGUUGGUGGGGUAACGGCCCACCAAGGCGACGAUGCAUAGCGGACCGGAGAGGGUGAUCGGCCACACUGGGACUGAGACACGGCCCAGACUCCUACGGGAGGCAGCAGUAGGGAAUCUUCCACAAUGGACGAAAGUCUGAUGGAGCAACGCCGCGUGAGUGAUGAAGGUUUUCGGAUCGUAAAACUCUGUUGUAAGGGAAGAACACGUACGAGAGGGAAUGCUCGUACCUUGACGGUACCUUACGAGAAAGCCACGGCUAACUACGUGCCAGCCGCCGCAGUAAAAC